AACGUAGGUGGCGAGCGUUAUCCGGAUUUACUGGGCGUAAAGGGUGUGUAGGCGGUUGUUUAAGUUUGGUGUGAAAUCUCCCGGCUCAACUGGGAGGGUGCGCCGAAUACUGAAUGACUUGGAGUGCGGGAGAGGAAAGUGGAAUUCCUGGUGUAGCGGUGAAAUGCGUAGAUAUCAGGAGGAACACCGGUGGUGUAGACGGCUUUCUGGACCGUAACUGACGCUGAGACACGAAAGCGUGGGUAGCAAACAGG
rnacentral:rRNA from 1 species